GAUGAACGCUGGCGGCGUGCCUAAUACAUGCGAGUCGAGCGAACGGACGAGAAGCUUGCUUCUCUGAUGUUAGCGGCGGACGGGUGAGUAACACGUGGAUAACCUACCUAUAAGACUGGGAUAACUUCGGGAAACCGGAGCUAAUACCGGAUAAUAUUUUGAACCGCAUGGUUCAAAAGUGAAAGACGGUCUUGCUGUCACUUAUAGAUGGAUCCGCGCUGCAUUAGCUAGUUGGUAAGGUAACGGCUUACCAAGGCAACGAUGCAUAGCCGACCUGAGAGGGUGAUCGGCCACACUGGAACUGAGACAUGGUCCAGACUCCUACGGGAGGCAGCAGUAGGGAAUCUUCCGCAAUGGGCGAAAGCCUGACGGAGCAACGCCGCGUGAGUGAUGAAGGUCUUCGGAUCGUAAAACUCUGUUAUUAGGGAAGAACAUAUGUGUAAGUAACUGUGCACAUCUUGACGGUACCUAAUCAGAAAGCCACGGCUAACUACGUG
rnacentral:rRNA from 1 species